GCCAGUGUGGCUCAGUGGAUAGAGCGUUGGCUUGUGGAUCCAAGGGUCCCGGGUUCGAUUCCAGUCAAGGGCA
rnacentral:tRNA from 1 species